GAGUGGUUAGCUUAAUUAAAAGCGUUAGAUUUUUAAUCUAAAGAUUAAUCUGCUCA
rnacentral:tRNA from 1 species